GCUUUGAUGACAAGUCCACCCGCAGUGAUCGAGCAAAGACUGAUAAGUUCGCUGCAAUUUCCAGUUUGUGGGGAUCAUUUGUCACCAACUGCAUCACGUGCUACAACCCUGGUCUACAUAUCACCGUUGAUGAACAGCUUUUCCCAUCAAAGACUCGGUGCAGUUUCCUGCAGUAUAUUGCAAGUAAGCCGGACAAGUUUGGGAUCAAGUUUUGGGUGGCUUGCGACCUAAAAUCCAAGUACAUUUGCAAUGUCUUCCCAUAUCUUGGCAAGGACCCCAGUCGUCCCACUGGGGAGAGACUUUCUGAAAAUGUAGUAAUGAGGCUGAUGGAACCAUUCCUAGACAAGGGCAGAAAUGUUACCACGGACAAUUUUUUCACAUCGCUUUCACUUGCGCAAAAACUUCUUAGACGGAAAACCACCAUCCUCGGCACAGUCAACAAGAUUCGCAGGGAAAUUCCUCAAUCCACUAGACAGACAGAUCGCAAUGAAUUCACCACUCAGGUGUUUUCAACCUCUGCUGCCACGCUGACGGCGUAUGCGGCCAAACGGAAGAAGACAGUCUAUAUUCUUAGCAGCAUGCACGGCGUGGUUCAGACUGAUAACACUACCAAAAGGAAGCCAAACACUGUCACCCUUUACAACAAAACAAAGUGUGGCGUGGAUGUGAUGGACCAGAUGGUUCGGGAGUACACUGUCCGCAGAGGAACACGGCGCUGGCCAGUUGCCGUGUUUUAUAACAUGAUUGACAUGGCAGCACUGAAUGCACAUGUGCUGUAUCAAGCAUGCUCCGGGACGAAGGAAAGACGGGUGGACUUCCUGGUGGAGCUUGCAAGGGAGUUAGCUCACUCUCAUGUAGCUGCGAAGAAGGCAAGAAAAGAACAGUUGCCUUUGACACAACCCUCCACACCGAGCCCUGGAAAAAGAGCCAUGUGUCAGGUCAAACACAAUUGCAAGAACAAUCAUGCCACUGUGCGAUGUGUUCACUGCAACAGAUACACAUGUGGUAAAUGCAGACUACAGAUACCAUGGCAGUGCCAGGAUUGUGAGUGAUUGCUGAA
ensembl:lncRNA